ACGAACGCUGGCGGCGUGCCUAAUACAUGCAAGUCGAACGGUCUUUCUAUGGAAGCUUGCUUCCACUGAGAAGAUAGUGGCGAACGGGUGAGUAACAACGUGGGUAAACCUGCCCAUAAGAGGGGGGAUAACAUCCGGAAACGGGUGCUAAUACCGCAUAGUUUUCUUGAUCGCAUGAUUGAGAAAGGAAAGACGGCCUUUGUGCUGUCGCUUAUGGAUGGACCCGCGGCGUAUUAGUUAGUUGGUGAGGUAACGGCUCACCAAGACGAUGAUACGUAGCCGACCUGAGAGGGUGAUCGGCCACAUUGGGACUGAGACACGGCCCAAACUCCUACGGGAGGCAGCAGUAGGGAAUCUUCCGCAAUGGACGAAAGUCUGACGGAGCAACGCCGCGUGAGUGAAGAAAAGGGUUUUCGGAUCGUAAAACUCUGUUGUCAGAGAAGAACAAGUUGGAGAGUAACUGCUCCAGCCUUGACGGUAUCUGACCAGAAAGCCACGGCUAACUACGUGCCAGCAGCGGC
rnacentral:rRNA from 1 species